UGCCAGUGAUAAACUGGAGGAAGGUGGGGAUGACGUCAAGUCAUCAUGGCCCUUACGACCAGGGCUACACACGUGCUACAAUGGCAUAUACAAAGAGAAGCGACCUCGCGAGAGCAAGCGGACCUCAUAAAGUAUGUCGUAGUCCGGAUUGGAGUCUGCAACUCGACUCCAUGAAGUCGGAAUCGCUAGUAAUCGUAGAUCAGAAUGCUACGGUGAAUACGUUCCCGGGCCUUGUACACACC
rnacentral:rRNA from 1 species